UCUUCAUCGGCCAUUUUAGUGUUCAUUCCCUUAAAAAUGCUUUUCACUUCUUCGUCUCGUGUCGACAGAAAAGCAAUUGUAGAAGUGUCAAGAUUGCGGGGAUGAUGACGGAAGAAAUAUUGUCUCCAACAAGUUGACAAAAGCGACAGUCAGGAUGAUCCUCAUUUGAAAGGGCCCAAACCUAGUGGUGGAUCGCUGGAUCUUCACGUCUACCACGGAGUGUAAUUAUUAAUACAAUCACCAGUAACACCAUUGUUGAGAGGUGAUGUAUGAGGCUCACUGUCAUGCAAAGAGUUCAAUAUUUCACAACCAUUUAGGAAAUGAACACUACAAUAUCCAUUGCUGAUGAAGAUGAUAAUUGUAGAAUACACGAAUUUAUCUUACAUUCAUCAGAAGUUUGCACGGCACACUGUAAGUCGGGCCCACGGCAGGGGGUCUCCGUUGUCUAACCAUUUCCUUCAAGCACUCUUUGCAUGGAGAAGAAGUCGACGUGGGAGUGGAUAAGAAAGGCUUCUUGUGCUACUUGAGUAUUCUUUUACACAAGUUUCGGUCACUUACCAUUACAAUUUUUUAUUUUUUUGCUUAUUACCCUAUCUGAAAUGAAUCAACAUACUUUUGAGCAUCAAUUGAUAGUGUUAAGCACCCAUUGUCUAAUUUAUUCUCUGCAACUACAUGGUACUUCUCAUUGUCCUCUCUCCAAACAAAUUCUUCACAUUAGUGGGCUUCUUGAUGUCAUUAUCUGUCAUGUCUGCUUGUCAAAUAAUUUUGCUCUCAAUUUGCAACACCCCUAUACCACAUGUUACUACUGAUUACAGCAUCUCUCUUCUAUUGCUCUGUUUCCUUUCUACCUUCACUUGUAGAACUACAAAGUGUCUACUGUCAACAUGUGUGCAUCCUCAUAGCCAGCUCCUUUAGCUGCAUAUGCUUGUAGCAACUCUUGUGUAGAUCUUUGUUCAUGCUCUUUUCUGGCAGCUAUUAUAUACUUUCUCUCUGCCAUGCUCCUCUGUUCCCAUAGUUAGCAUCUCGCUAUUGUGCUGUGAUACUCUUAACUUGUAGCAUGUAUGGAAUUGCAUUAGCCCCACUUGUAUCUUCAUGGCUACCUCUUUUCUUUGUUGUAACUAUUUGUCGCGUCUUCUGUGUGAUAUCUCCUCUAUGCCCUAUACCAACAUUCACUUGCAGCUACUCCUAUGUAGCAUCCUCUCAGCACCCUCCUUUUGGAUGUUCUUACUUUCAAAAUUUGAGUUAUGAUUCACUUGCAGCUUCUUGGAAAUUCCUGCAGUGUCCUUUCGACCUCGCAAAUGGAUGGGCUGGCUUAAACAGCACACACUAAGCUUUGACUGCUUAGGUGUGCUGUGGGCCCCUAAUAGUCAAUCCCGUCCAUUUCCGUUUGGAAUACCAUCACCGUUAACUUUCCAUGACUGUUUUCGCCUUAACCUGACCCCAUUAAUCCCGCCCAAAGUUUAAUUUUUCAAACUGUUUUCUCCCGCCCCAAAGUUUUCCUCGUAGCAAAUAGGUUUCUGAAGUGAGCAGCUCCCAUUUUCACGCAGCCUGUGCCAAAAUGGGAGCUUUUGAACCGGGAAGGGACAUCCAUCAUAACUGUGGAUGUGCUCUGAAAGACAUGCGUGCAAAAUGUGGUAGCAUAGAAUUACGUGAUUGCAGGAUAUGCAGAAAAUGUGUCCCUGCCUGUGCCAAAAUGAGAGCUUUGGAAAGAAUUAUUUAAUCUCUGCAUCCAUGCCAGUUUCAUAGAAGGCAUGCUCUACUAAGUUAUUAGCAGCUCAGCACAUCGUUUCACAAGGAGGAAUGUAUUUAAUCAAAUCAUAACUAAGAUGGACGUGAGAAGUGGUGGGUGCAUGGUGGGUUAUUGCAAGGUAUAAAUAGGGCGGAAGAAUGCUCUAAAUCUCUAAAUCUGUUAUUUGUUGAGGCUGGGAAUUAUUGUUGUGGAGGAAACACACAUGGAAAAAUGUGGUUCACAGGUUGAGUAAUAAGAAUAAUUGCAAAAGGAAAAAAGAGGCCGCUGAUUUCAAUAUGAUCUGCUCAAUUAUGAGAUCUACAGAGAAGAUGGAUUUUGCCUAAAUCUAGAGAAGCCUGAUUAGGUCUUUAUCAAUUCCAGCCAUUUUGUUGGUAAAUCUAUAUUUACAAGGAAAGUCAAGUUACCAUUUCA